AUUUUUUUCCAUCCGGGGUUAAAAAUGUGUGCUUUUUGUUUGGUUGUUGAUAAAUUUGGUGAUUUUGACGCAUUUCGGAAUUUUUGGCUGGUUGGAUUUUGAUGUGAUCCGAAGCAAUUUUUCUAUAUUGCAGUGAUUGAUAGAGUGUUGAUGAUAAAAUAAGAGGUGUUUUUUCCCUUUAUCCGGGCUUAAAGAUGUCUGCCUUUUGCUUGUUUUUUUUUUUUAUAAAUCUGGUGAAUUUGAUGCAUUUUGGAAUUUGUGGUUAUGUGGUGGAGUCUGCAUUUUUGGUUUUGGAAAUUGCCCAUCUUGCUGGUUGUUUGGUUCUCGAUAUGAUUCGAAGCAUUCUACUACUGAAGUAAUCGAGCCAAUAUUUUUUAUAAAAUAAGAUAACCGGGGAUGAGCGUUUGUUCUAGAUUUUAUACCAAUGCACCGUGUAAGUGUAAAUACAGGAGGCUGAGCUUCGUAUGGCUUGAGGGACUUGCAGGGUGUGCAUUUUGUUUUUUAAGAUAUCAAUGGUUUGCAAGAUUUCUUUUAGCAUUGUGAAAUUCUUGCUUUUGUUGAUCGUUGCUGGUAUAUUAUUGGGUUGAAGAUGGGAUAUAUUACAUCUGCAGCUUAGUUACACCCUAGAAUCAACUCUAACAAGAUUCACUAGUGUUUCACAUCCUAUUUGUGUUGAUAACGUCUCAGGGAAAGGCAUGCCAAUGAUCCUGCUAUAUAUCAUGUCUGAAAAAGUGGAACCAUGCCAUAAUGAUUGGAUUGAAACUGAAAUUGAUAGGAACAUUGCACACAACAAUAGAAGUUCACGAAAAGGAUAUAUCUCUGAUGUUCCAUAAUUUAUAAAGUUUGAAAAUUAGUAUUUUUAUGUAUAUCAUCUCAUGACUUAGGAGAGCUCCUUUGGUCUUGAAAAUCUAUUCUGUGAUUGUUUGGACAGGCUUGAGGAUGCGUCUUUAAUGAUAACUCUCAACAAUAAAUAUUUUCAUUCUUAAGAAACAGAAUGAUUGUCAGUGGGUAUGACUAGUUAGGUUAUUGUGAUUCUGUCUGCUUUGGAACAAACUGUUGAAGAACUGGUUUGGACCAGUUGCUUCAUUCUCCAAGCUUACUGACUGACUCUUACUUCAUGCUCUCCGGACACUUUGUGGCCAAAUAUUCCAAGCACAUGAAUCUAGGCCACGUGAUUUACACUUCUGUAUUUGCUUUGAUCUCAUUUUUUAGUUUGUUUUGUUUUGAAGCAUCGAAGAUUGAUUUGAAGCUACAUAACCUAUUACAUCUUCCUAGGAUCUCCAAUCUUUGUUUACAACCAAAACUGGAAUUUUUGGCAUGUUUCCAUCAUGUUGCUGCUCCACCCACUAUAGUCACGUGAAUAUUUGUGGUCAGUUAACACAAUUUUCUUUUUCAUUGAACAUCAGCUUAUGCCUCCCAAGCUUAAUGCAUGCAUUUAUCUUCUCUUCUCUUCUCUUCUUGUAGCUUAUAAUUGCACUGCUGGGAACCUACAAAAAAUAAUAGACUUUGUUGUACGAAUUUCUUUUUUGCUGUGAGGAAGCCUGCCAUCCUUAGAUCUUAAUUUAUCUCCUUGCCAUUAUUGUGAUCAUUUCUUUGAGUGUGCUUUUCUCCCUUUUAAUCCUAGGUACUCAUGGAGCCCCUUUUCACUCCUCUUCCAUGAUUGUUUUAUUCCAGUUCCUUUUGCACAUAGGGCUCAUUUGGGAACACGGUAGAAACCGUGUUUCCCAAAAAAA